UACGUAGGUGGCAAGCGUUGUCCGGAAUUACUGGGCGUAAAGCGCGUGUAGGCGGCUUGGCAAGUCGGAUGUGAAAGCCCACGGCUCAACCGUGGAAGCGCAUCCGAAACUGCUUCGCUUGAGUCUCGGAGAGGAAGGUGGAAUGCUUGGUGUAGAGGUGAAAUUCGUAGAUAUCAAGCAGAACACCUGCGGCGAAGGCGGCCUUCUGGACGAUGACUGACGCUGAGACGCGAAAGCGUGGGGAGCAAACAGG
rnacentral:rRNA from 1 species